ACGGAAGGCAGCAGUGAGGAAUAUUGGUCAAUGGGCGAGAGCCUGAACCAGCCAAGUAGCGUGAGGGAAGACUGCCCUACGGGUUGUAAACCUCUUUUGUCCAGGAAUAAAAAAUCCCUCGUGAGGGAUCUUGCAGGUACUGGUUGAAUAAGGACCGGCUAAUUCCGUGCCAGCAGCCGCGGUAAUACGGAAGGUCCGAGCGUUAUCCGGAUUUAUUGGGUUUAAAGGGUGCGUAGGCGGGAUGCCAAGUCAGCCGUAAAAUCGUCGAGCUCAACUCGAUCUCGCGGUUGAAACUGGCGUCCUUGAGUACACUAGAGGGCGAUGGAAUUCGUGGUGUAGCGGUGAAAUGCAUAGAUAUCACGAAGAACUCCGAUUGCGUAGGCAGUCGCCUGGGGUGCCACUGACGCUGAUGCACGAAGGUGCGGGUAUCAAACAGGAUUAGAUACCCUGGUA
rnacentral:rRNA from 1 species